UUGUCUCAAAGAUUAAGCCAUGCAUGUCUCAGUACAAGCCGAAUUAAGGUGAAACCGCGAAAGGCUCAUUAAAUCAGUUAUGGUUCCUUAGAUCGUACCCACAUUUACUUGGAUAACUGUGGUAAUUCUAGAGCUAAUACAUGCAAACAGAGCUCCGACCGUUUACGGGAGGAGCGCUUUUAUUAGAUCAAAACCAAUCGGUGGUGGUUUCGGCUGCCAUCGUACACCUUGGUGACUCUGAAUAACUUUAAGCUGAUCGCACGGUCUCGCACCGGCGACGCAUCUUUCAAAUGUCUGCCUUAUCAACUGUCGAUGGUAGGUUCUGCGCCUACCAUGGUUGUAACGGGUAACGGGGAAUCAGGGUUCGAUUCCGGAGAGGGAGCCUGAGAAACGGCUACCACAUCCAAGGAAGGCAGCAGGCGCGCAAAUUACCCACUCCCGGCACGGGGAGGUAGUGACGAAAAAUAACGAUACGGGACUCAUCCGAGGCCUCGUAAUCGGAAUGAGUACACUCUAAACCCUUUAACGAGGAUCAAUUGGAGGGCAAGUCUGGUGCCAGCAGCCGCGGUAAUUCCAGCUCCAAUAGCGUAUAUUAAAGUUGUUGCGGUUAAAAAGCUCGUAGUCGAAUUUGUGUCCCGCGCCGCCGGUUCAUCGUCCGCGGUGUUAACUGGCGUGUCGCGAGACGUCCUGCCGGUGGGCUUAGCCCGACGAGGGCGGCCCAACUCAAUCCCGCCGCGGUGCUCUUCACUGAGUGUCGAGGUGGGCCGGCACGUUUACUUUGAACAAAUUAGAGUGCUUAAAGCAGGCUAGAAUUUCGCCUGAAUACUGUGUGCAUGGAAUAAUGGAAUAGGACCUCGGUU
rnacentral:rRNA from 1 species